CGGCGGACGGGUGAGUAACGCGUGGGUAACCUGCCUCAUACAGGGGAGUAACAGUUGGAAACGGCUGCUAAUACCGCAUAAGCGCACAGUACCGCAUGGUACGGUGUGAAAAACUCCGGUGGUAUGAGAUGGACCCGCGUCUGAUUAGGUAGUUGGUGGGGUAACGGCCUACCAAGCCGACGAUCAGUAGCCGACCUGAGAGGGUGACCGGCCACAUUGGGACUGAGACACGGCCCAA
rnacentral:rRNA from 1 species